UGACACUAAUUACGGAGAUUUUUUUCUCUCUCUCUGUUCAGUGCAGGGUCCGCCCUGGUUUCUGACGCACACAGCUCAAAACGGCGCAUCCUAAUUUUUUUUAUAUAUGUGUAUUUUGCACUUCUUUAAAGAAAAAAUAAGCGAGUCGAAGAAGGAUGCACCAGCUCAGAGGACUGGCGGAACACGGGCACACCAUUUGAACAGUCCCGUCAGUCCGGUUACCAGCCGUGCCCAAUCGCACCAUUGCAACUCCCCACAUCUCUGCCACUUCAUAUGUUACAACCGGAGUCCUCGGCGUUAUCAGAAGCCGGAUCUCCGGCUCCCAUUUUAGCUCUACCCAAGCCUCGUCUUGUACCACGCCGAAGGAGCCUUCGUAAGCUUUCUCCCGUUGAAUCUGAAGCAUCAGUGCACUAUCAAGUGUUUUAAUUUUCCAAAGGGGAGGUGGGGGAGCAUUUAACAACAGAAGAAUAACCUUAAUCCGACUCAGGGAAAUGGAGACAAUUUGACAGUAUCCCGGCCAUGGAGCACUGAGCAGCCGUGCCCCAGGGAGUAGUGCAACAGAUGGUGCUGGGAUCCAUGAAGGGUUCCAGUGAUGUUACCACCGAGGAUGCUACAGCCCGACUGCAGUUUCUCCUCAGUCUUCUCAGGUGCAUGGAGUUGCUGCUCGGCCUGUCGAAUUCUUUCAGCAGUUUAUUUGUUCGCUCCACGUUCCAGCUUCUGCAGUCUCUUGUGUCUCCUGCCUAGCAAAUCAUUCAGUUCAUGGGACAUCACUGACAAGGCCAACUUUAAUUGCCCAUCCAUAAUCGCCCUUGGGAAGGGGAUGGCGAGCUGUUUCCAUGAACUGCUGCAGACCUGGUGCUGCUGGAGAGGGAGUUCCAGGACUUAGGCUUGUGAUCUUUCCAUGCACAAGCUGAAAACCAGACCUGGCCAAAGGAUAAUCAUUGGCCCCUUUAACAUUGAGUCUCUUGCAGUGUCCUCGGGAUGCCAAGAGACUCUUCGUGGCUCUGCGGAUGUGAUUGUGCCAAAACUGACAGGGCUGCACACUGGCCUCAACAGAUGAAGUAAAUCCAGGAGGAAGAGGAGCUUGGCCUCCAAUGCUGACGUUCCUUUGGCUUGCAAUGGUUUCUUAUGAUCAGCAACAAUACAAGGUGAAUAUUUUCACUGAUGCCUGUACGUUCAUGGGUAUGUGCCAGAGCCCCACAUCAAACGGAAUAAUGCUUACCAAGAUUGUUGGAAAAUAGGAUUGGUUCCACCGAGAAAAUCUCACCAAUAAUUACAUUGCCAGAUGUGAUUGGAACAUCUUGAAGAGCCCUGACUUUACCACUGUGCAUGCAGUGGUGUGAUAAGGAUGAUGAGUGGGUAGGUGGGAAUGCAGAGUUGAGGUUACAAUCAGAUCAGCCAUGGUGUUAAUGGUAAAGCAGGCUUGAGGGUCUGAGUGGCCUACUCUUCCUAAUUCCUAUUACCUCCCAGUAGAUUCACUGCCCACCCAUGGUACUCAACUGCACAAAGUUGUAAGGUACUAGGUUCGAUCUCCUGGUUUGUCCUGAGUUAGUUGAUCCUGCUGGGCAGUACCUAGGGCAUUGCAAGUGACCCUGGUACCAAAGGAAUGAGAAGGGGUCAGUAAAGCACUGAGUUUUGGUGGGUGGUAGAUUUGUGAUCCUUGUAUCUGGAAGGAAUCGGACUUGUUCUGAUAUUCUCUGUGGUCAAGUAACCUGUUCACAAUUGCUGAUUGUGCUCAAGUACAAAGAAGUAACAAUAUUGACCUAACAACCUAGGUCUUGGGAUCAAAUCCUCCAGAAUGAAACUGAAUUUAGUAACUCUGGUUCCUUGCAGCUGCCACCAUGUAAAUGUCCUGAGAACGUUACUAAGUUGUUGAAAGAACCCAACUAGUUCUCCAGUCUUUCAGAGAAGGAAGCUUACCAUUUUUUAUGAUAUAUUUAUUAGUUACAUGUACAUUGAAACAUACAGUGAAAUACAUCUUUUGUGUAGAGUGUUCUGGGGGCAGACCACAAGUGUCACCACGUUUCUGGCACCAGUGUAGCAUGCCCACAACUUCGUAACCCGUACGUCUUUGGAAUGUGGGAGGAAACCGGGGCACGCGGAGGAAACCCACGCAGACACGGGGAGAACGUACAAGCUCCUUACAGACAGUGGCGAGAAUUGAACUCGGGUUGCUGACGCUGUAAUAGUGUUAUGCUAACCGCUACACUACUGUGCCUGCAUUUCUGCUCAGUCUUGCCUACAGUACCAGAUUGUUGACUCUUAAAACCCCAGUUGGGGAAGGUCAUGAAGUACUAUGGAUGUUAUCCGUGUCAGAUGAACAAAUCGCUUUACAAAGAUAUAAUUGGACAGAUGAACUGCUUGAGUCUAACUAUUGCUGAAAGCACUAUUCUCUCUGGGAAGAGGCAGUGGCCCAUAUCUUUCUCUUCAAUGCCCAGGUAUAUGCUUCACCUGCAAGGAGGAGCCUACUUGCAGAUUUAAGGAUCUGAUGCCUGUGAUCUUCCAUCUGUGACAGACACUGAGGUGGAAAGUCAGGCUACUUCAAGAGAGAUGUAGAGAUAAUUUCACUGAGUGUAUUUGAGGGAGAGAGAAUUGGGAAGCCUUCCUGCUUGGACGCCCUGGCCCUGGGGGAAGUAAAUCUUUCAAGAUUGCCAUUCCAAAUUGCUGUCAAGCUCACGUGUGCAAACCUGCUUUGACACCCUGUGAGGGCUAUUAGACAAUUGUUUUGCCUUUUUAUACGUGACCUGCUGUGAUGGGUAGACAAGUACCAAUAGUCUUCUACCUAAUACACAUGGAUCUCAGUAAUAACCCCCCCAAACAUUAUCUGUUGUGAGGUCAGUGUCUACCAUCAUAUUUGCUGCUUCAAAUAAUACAGUUGUAAAGCUGACAUUUCAACAAAGUGGCUUAUUUGUUUGUGACCAUACAAGGAGUUUGACCAGAUUGUUCUUGUGUCAUUGUCCUGUUGGGUUUAAUACCAUAAAUCUGAUACCAUGCCUGCCUGAUAGCUGCUUUGGUAGUUACAAAGUCCACUCUGGUACCAUGCCCCUUGGACUAGAAAGAUCCCAGAUGUGUUUUUGCUUCACUGAUCUUGAAUGGAUCAACAGCACCCCGGUUACAGUUGGUAUCUGUGCCCCCCAACCGAGAAAGGGGAAGAAAUUGGCAAAGGUUCCUGCUCCAUAUUGAUCCCCUCUGCUCUGCUCUCCAAACCAAACCCCUUCCUCUUCAGAACCAUCCCCAACCCCACCUCUCCACCCAGAGUAGAAACUGUUGAUAAAGGAUAGGAUUUAUCUUGACUGAUGUUCCAUCUCUGUAGUCAGACUGAGCAUUGGACCCAAAGCAACCACUUGGGCAAGGCACUGGAAGGUAACUGGUACCUGCAGAACCAUUAGCAGAGGUAGCAGCACCUUCAGGACAAGAGAAAGUAGAUCAGGGUCAAGAACCAUGUUCAAAUAUGAUUUUUGGUUCCACCACAGUCUUUUUGGAUAUGAUACCUUUUCCACCUUAACUAAGCUUUAAGGACCAUUUCCUGUCACACAGGUAUUCCUUUUAAGGGGCUUUUUGGAUAUUUCCCAGUUGCCAGCACAAAGCUCCCAACUGACCGAGUCAGACAUAAAUAGGCUGAAAAGUCUGGACAUCAUAAAUUGAUGCAGGCACCAUUAAAAGCAAUGCAGCGUAUUUGAACAGAUAGGUUGUGUGUCAGUUGCUACUGCUGCAAAGUGGCUGUUUUUGCUCUGGCAAUUACUGAGAGAAUUUCAGACCAUUGGAUGUCAAAGUGUUCAUUUAAAACUCCAAUGGUUUCCCGUCAGUACUCUGUGAUGACAUGUUUCUUGUUUUACUGUAAGGGCCUGCAUCUUUCCCAACUUAGAAUAUUCCUCCUUGAGAAAUUUUCUUUCUCCUUCUCUUCCUACCAGCUGUCCGUUGGAGUUAAAUAAAAUGUCAAGUGGGAGGGGAUUUGUUUGGAAAAAUUGCAUGAGUCGGCAAGAGGGGAAAAAAUCCAGAGCUGAAGGGAUGCUCUUUACUAAACCACUGCAUGCUCUAACAAAAUUAACUAGUACUAACCACUCUACUAAUGAUUCUGUGAGGCCUAUUUGGAGAUUUCUGUGUUUCCCAGACCAGUUCCUGUCAGAAUUUACCACAUGGGUUUAAAACAAAAUUCUGGUACCACAGGGACUUGUUUCCCAUGGUCUGAAAACUAUAACCACAAGUGGUUUGUCAUUUGUACUUUAACCCUUUCACCAUCAUGGACCCUUUUUUAAUCCAGGUUUGACCCACUAGGUAGGUAUACCCAAGGCAUCGUCAGAUAGAAGAUGCCCAGGGGUGGUGUCAGCCUGCAUUGGGGUUCAGUACUCUUGUGCAGUCAAUACAUUUCCUGCCAUUCUGUGAAUCCAAAACUAAAAUCAGCUCAUGAUCUGUAACUCUGUGACCUCCCAGAGCAGCAGAUCAUGUCAAUUCAUCCUGCUGUGUUCUGACUAGAUUGGAACCUGAUUCGUGCCUACCUUGUCCAAGGGUUGACAUCUGUCGUACAUUAAGAGCAGGCAUGCAAAGGUCAUUGUGUUGGACCUUACCAUGCCUUUGCCUGGUGAAGAAACUCACAAUGGGACUCUCACAGGAGGGCAAGGAAGGAAGAAAUUCCAAAUCAAAUAUUCCUGCUAUUUCACAACCUCACCGCAGUUGGAAUGUAUUGUUGCACAAGGUUGUUAACUCUUUGAGGACGGAACUGUAUGUUAAUUGGCAUUCUGUGAUCCCACAAUGGCUUUGUCAUUGCAGUACCUGUUGUUGUGAAUGGACAGACCACACCGCCUGGUCUAUGGUUGAACCAUUCAAAGCAGGUCGCAGAUUUGAAUCCAGCCGGUGGUGCUUUAAAGGAUCCAGACCAGGGGUCAAACCGACUGCAACAGGGUGGGUUGGGCUGGAAAUGAAUCAGCCAGGUUUCCCACUGCUAAUGCCAAGGACUGCCUCAGUGACGAUGUGCUAUACCUGUACAUAUAAGAGAGAGAUCACUGAUGCAACAAUAAAUGGUAUAAGGAGUGGAACGUAAUAUCAAGUGAUGGGAGGAUCAGGAUUGGCUGUAUUGACCGAUCACCAAGCCCCUUCGUCACCCCUCCAUAGAUAGGGUUGCCAACUGUGGAUGUCACAUGAUCGCUUGGCUCCAAUUGCAUUGCCUAUCCCUUCCACUCUCAUCAUUGGUCAGUAUUGUGGUACAGCUCCUUCCUGCCCCAUCAGAAAAUUAAUAGAUUCCCUAUUAACCAAACAAAUGAUUCACUGUCAGUCCAAACAGUCUCCUAACGUUGUUGUAAACGUUCAAAGAUUUUAUUACCUUAAAAAGAACAGAAUUUUAUGAAGCUCCUGUUUUUAUUUUCUGGAUUAUUCCAGAAGUUAGUCUUUGGUUCCUAGAGACCUCGGGGCAAUCCUGGACCAGUGGCAACCCUUUAUGUCUUGUUAGAUGGCUGAUUGUCCCACCCUAUCCAGGCUAAGACAGGAGGAAUAGAUGCUUGGGCAAUGUGGUAACUAUACCUCAAUCAGCUCCUUCUGUAGAAGGUGAAAAUUGGCCAGGGAUUGAGGAAACACUUGGGUAGUGUUUCCAGAUGGGAAGAAUUUGCAGGAUUUUGAUAAACGCCAAGUCCUGAAAGGGUAAUAAAUACAAAAUAUGGGAUCAAUGAAUGGGUUAAAGUUGUCGGGAGAUACAGAAAAUUUCCUGUACUUUCAUAAGAGGCCAGAUAACUUAUCUAAAAGUAAAGACAUACUAAUACUCUCAACCAGGACACUCUGGUUUUUACUAACCAUUACUAACACCACUAAUGGUUAUCUGCUUACUAACAAUGGAGGGAGCUCUCCCCAGCUUUGUAGUGCAUGGAAGCUUGAAUGAUCUGUCACUGCUCAGGGAUGUGAACAAAGAUGUUUCUUUAAAACGUGUCUGUGGGCAUUGAAAGUCUGCCUUUUAAAGGGGCACUGCUGGUCUGGACUGAGGAACCGGCUGGCUGAAACUUGGAGCUUGUCCAAAUUUGGCAAUCACUGAAACAAUUCUGAAUCUGCAGCAAUCGGGUUUAUAUUUUUUAAAAAAGACUUAUAUAUGGGAAUGGGUUCUUACAAACACAGCUCAAAAUCAUGAGUGUGUUUGAAACUUGCUUGUUCAAUGCUAGGUUAGCUGCACUGGGUUUGGUAGGGAGUGAUAAAUUGGCUCUGAGCUGAGAAUGGAAUAAUUGGGCAAGAACUCCAGCUUUUAAAUGCUAGCCGGUGCUUCCGACUGAAUGGGAGGUGAGGGGAAAAUUGGGCUCAUCUUUGACAGUCCAUCUUAAUUGAUAUCUUGCCCUGCUCAUCUGUGUAACUGCAGUAAUUGGGCCAGAGGCAGCCUUGAGAUUAUGUCCUCUGUACAAGUCCAAGUGUUCAAGAGAGGAGGUGAAGAGGUAAAUUUGAUGUCGGGUGGACUUGAGGGGAAAGGAACUUAAAAGGAAUGUGAAGAACACCCGUAAAGAGAGGUUUGUGUCCCCAGCAGGUCGAUGGUGCCCCUUUAAAUGUGUUGCCGCAUCAGGAAUGUCUGGCAGCUCGAGCAAUUCCUGAGUGCAAACAUUCAGCAUGGGACAUAACUUGAGUCUUGUAGCUGUGUGCACUCAAAAAGGUUACAAGUGAACCCUGACUUCCUCAGGUUUUGUGUUCUCGUUCCACUUCCAUACAUUAUUGUUCCUCAGACAUGGCAGCUGCGGCAAUGUGUAUUGCUUGCUUGAAGCACCUUCUGUCUGUGCUCCAUGUUGGAUAUGAUACCGCUGCGCAUUCCUAUGUCUAUCAAUGUGCCAGUGUUAACUUUGCCAAAUGAUUGAAGCAGAGCCCAGCUUUGCAUCUACAACACGUGCUGCUUAAAGUGUUAGGAACUGGAUCCCUAUUAACAAACUGGUUGUUGAGGCCAGUACAGAAUCCUGAAACAAGCACAAAAUCAUCAGCCCCGAGACUGACUUGUUCUCUGCUGCUGCCACUAUUCUCAUUCUUGUUCUCAAAAUCUCUUCAUGGCCUUGCUCCCUUCCUAUCUCUGUAACCUCCACCAUUUCUCCAAUCCUCCCAGAUAUCUGUGAGCCCCUGAUUCUUGUCUCUAACAAAUCCUUUACUGUUCACAGCCUAAGUAAUGGGUGCUUUCCCAAACGCUUACUAGCUGUCUUCUUCCUUAGACCACUCCUUAAAGCUUUUUGCUUUGAACAAGCUUCUGGCCAGCAGGAUAAUAUCUUCUUCUGCAACGAGCUGUUGCACUUUUUUUAGCCAGUGCUUCUGUAAUCGCUUUACUGUGUGAAAGCUGCUUUAUAUAUGCAAACUGUCACUGUUGUCCCCAUCUCCAACAUUGUUUGUCAGCAAUUUAUAGGGUUAAACACUGGACAGUCAUCUCAAACUUGAAGCUUUUCCCUUUUCAGAUCAAAUGAGUUGGACGUUCUCAAUCCAGCUAAAUGCAGAACCAUGGUUUCCAACAGCACUUAAUCCACAAACAAAUGGCUAUAGAAGUCCCCAAGGUGCAGUAGAGCGAAACUUUACAUUCAGCCAGUGUCAUACCCUGACAUUAUAAACACACAGUGCCUAAAAUUGGAAGUGUUGCAGAUCAAUGAUCCUUUUUGAGAAGCACGUUCUGUUGAAAAUAUUAAGCAAGGCACAUUUCUGCUGAAUGUUUGCAAAGAAGAGGGAAUGUGGGGCUUGCAAGCAGGAAAUUCCUGAUGGUUCUUUUUCGGGGAUGGUGGGCUGAAAGAGCAGAUCUUUGCAGACCCAUAUUCUCGUGUGUCUGUGCGUGCCUCUUGUAUUGUAUUGCAUUGCAUCUGAUCUGACAGACGAAUAACAAGCACCAGGUGUGCUUGCUGCUCUACUAACCUAAUUAAUGAUUACUAACAAAAACUGGUUAAUGCAGACCAACCGUCCACCCCUGGGACCCUGAGGGAGAGAAAAUCCUGCACCAUUUGGGUUCUCCCCACCACAGCACCCCCCCCGCCCAUGUUGUGAAACCCACCUCCUCCGAUAUGUUCUGUUCAAUAGGAGUUAGUGCAGGAUUAAACUUGGAUAUGGACCUUUAUACUAUCAGGAUGUGGAGAGAUACAGCCUCCAGCCUAGAAGAGGGAAGGCUGUCGAGUGUACAGAAUGGACUGUAGAAAGAAGCACUGGGGACUGAGAGCAUCAUAAGGUCAAAAGAGAGUUGAUUAUAUAUGUCUGGAGCAAAGUUGGAUGAAGGGAUGAAUUCCAUUGAGUCGCUAUCAAUCUUCAACCAUUACUUGAACAGAACCUUGGUGGAGUGAGUGAUGUGAAACAUUGUUCCUUCACUCCAGUUGUCCUGUUAAGAGUUACAAAGGGAAGCCAUAAGAACCCUUUUAGAAUCUUCAGGCUGAUGUUUCUUAGGCUUUGGGACACAGUGGUCAUUGCCGACCCAGAACUUUCUGUUUCUGCUGCUUUUGAAGUGUGGUAUGCAAGCAUCCAUUAGUGGUCCAAUGUUACGCUUUUGAAUGCCAGACUAUUAGAGUUAGCAAGUGAGUGGCUUCAGAGUUUCCCUUUGAAUAGGUGAGUGGAUUAAUGCAUCAUCUAGGGUGGUAAGGAGCUACACAAUGCAAAGAAGUUUCCCGGUCUGAUCCCACGGCUUUGUGAAAUUAAUUCUCAAGCAGGUCAGUUUGAGUGGAGUCAGAUUUGUCUUCUGCGUUCCUGAUUUUCAAAGGGAAAAUAAGCCAGAAUUUGUCCUUGAUUGUCAUGCAGUCGGCUCCCUAAAAGAUCCAUGCUUCUGAACACAGAACGAGGUUAGGAUUGUGGUCCACUAUGAUAAUUCCCCCACACCUGCAUUUCAUGCUGACACUUGCUGUUUGCCAGGGAACGAUUGGUUGGGUUACAGAUAGGCCACUCGCAGUAGAGGAGGAAGCAACCUGGUCAUCAGGCCUCCCGAGGAGAACCAUCCACAAAGCCCCAUUCUCUUUCACUUUCCUUGUAUGGUUCUCAAUAUGCAAAGACUUACUCCUGCAUUGUUUUCUCAAUUCCUAACAGCACAAUUGAAUACAAGAAGACUCUCUCCCUGGUUUAUUUUGAUCGUGCUCUGCAAUGGGCAGCCUCAAUAUGUUUCACUGUAUCUAAGCUGAUGCAUCCUGGAUUCUGUGCCCACCCACUCCUGUUGACCCACACCAGCAAUGCCUCCAAUUUGAAAUGAUCACACCCUUGGUCUUGUUUAAGUCCUUCCUUGUCUCCUACCUCCCUCCAACCCCAGCCCAUUUCUGGGACUUCCUCCAGCCUUGUGUUUCCAUUUUAGUUCCUGUACUUCCCAUUGGCUUACUCCAAAAGUGGGGCCCGUACCCUCAGCUGCCCAAGGCCCAGGUAUUGGAAUUCCCUCCCUUCCUCAGAAGGCGCAUCAGCCCUGCUCCUGCAAUAUUCCACAGGAGCUGUCACCUGUACGAGUAGCACUGCCAUAGCUGGCAGUUCCACAGUGGCAGAGACAUUGAAGCUUUUCUCGGUGAGUCUCCCACUUGGUGUGGAACAGAACUUAAAGCAUCCCUAUUGUCACAAUCUUCUCUGUCAUCACAUUGGUACCCUGUUCAUCUGCUGGAUUUGCCUCUUCUCCAGAAAGCCCUUGUACCCACUCACAGCACCACCUGCUGUAGACAAGGUCAGACAGUAAGUGACAGCAGAACAUGGGUUGAGAUAACAACACAUUAACAACCUGUUCUCAUCUGAAAUAUUUUAUUCAUUUGACAUCUGUAGAUAAUGGUAUUUAUUGCCAUCCAUGAAUUAUUUGCUUGAGAGACUGCAGUUUUUCUGUCAAAAGUUUGCCCACUGUACUCUUAGGGAUGGAGCUCCAAGAUUUAGGCCCAGUGAUGAUAUUUUAAAAAAAAAACAAAUAUUUCCAAUUGAUGUUGCUGUACAACUUGGAGAGGAACCUGUAGUGUUUCUCAUGCUUUUGUCCUUCUGGGUAGUAGAAGUUGCAAGUUUGGGAGGUCCUGUCAAAGUUGAAUUGGCAAGUUGCAGUAGUGCACUUUUCAUAUGGUGAACCACGAUGACAGCACACUUUUCAUUGCAACCGUGUGGUCCCAGAAGCCUGAGAAAUCAGCCUGGUGGGAGGUGGCAGAAUCUAGGGGACCUCAGGAGGAGGGGGAUUGGGUGCAGGGAAAAUCAAAGGAAUUACAGCAAAGAAUUAGGCUUCAAGUUAGUCAUUUGUUUUUAAUUGCAUCCUCCCAGCACUCAAACUGAAUUUACUUUGAGUGAAGUUGCCUUGACGUUGAUUAGUUUGACUAUUUUUGAGUGACUCGACUGAUGUGUUUGUGGGGUUUACUGCUCCCUGAUAUGUAUACAAGGUUUAUCCCCAAGAGAUGCCUUUACAGCAUCUUCAUCCUCAGCAGCUUUUGCAUUUACACUGGGCUUUUAUUUGUAUUGUCCCUUUUCUCAGUGUUCUAUUCUCCUUUCUUUACCUCAAAUUAUCACUCUGUUGCAGUUUCACCUCCCCUUCUGUCUCAAGUUUUCUUUCCUCUUCACUGUUCCUGUUGUUAAUUGAUCAUGCCCCUUUGCAUUUCUUUCUUGGUUUGAUCUUAUUCUGAUCCAUUUAUAAGACCACCAACCAACCCCUUUAUGUUCAGUAAGGUCACAGCUGAUCUUCCACUGCAGACGUACUUCCCCUUGGUUCCCUUUUGAGUGCAAAAUUCUAUUCAUUUCAGCCUUGAAUAUCCUCAGUGACUCACCAUCCACAUCCCUCCAAGGCUGAAGGAUUUCCCUUCUGUUUAUUCAUUCCUUUUUCUCUCCUAUCGGCUUGCAUUUCCACUGUGCAAGCUUCCAGUAACAGGUGCAUCAAAUAAAAUUUGUAUUUAAGGACUGAGGACCAUAUACCACUGAAUCACAAAGUAAUAACCCAAACCAAAGAGCAAUUAGGGAGGUCUCCGUGAGGCUGCUAACAUAUCUGGGGUGUUGGUGAGUCUGUAUAUGGCAGUCACUGGAAGAAUCUAACACCUACUAAUAACACUAACACAGUAUUUGGGAAACGAGUACCUAAAAGGGGUAAAUCUUCACUCUGACUUCAAGCACUUUAAGACCAUUUGUGAGGACUAUGCAUUGAAAUCUGAAGAACUUGACUUGGGAGCACUUAAAAGCAUUUAAAAACUUGUUAGCAAAUUAUUUCUGUCUUUGCAACUUGAUGGUUUGAAAUGACUUGAAAGAGGACACAAAUGUUCAAGGGGUUAAGUCAGAAACCCAAACAAAGAUGGGAGAAAAAGUAAAGUGGUCCUUUCAACAUCUGCUAUGUUGCUUGUAAGGGUUGGGUUUAAGGUGAAUCUGUGCAGCCUUAGUCCAGGACCCAUGGAAUAUAGGCCCAUGAUACAAGAUAGAGCACCAGAUUAGAACAGUCAUUCACAGGCCUACUAAUGGAGAUAAGCAGUGUCACAUUACUACAGUUGUGCCAGGACUUGUUGCUGAGGGUCACAAAGGGGCACUUUACACCUAACCCUGCCAUACCUGGCAGGGCUUGAUAUUGGUACUGAUGGGGUGGUUAAUGUUAGUGUAACCCACUGCUCGGGGAAACCUGCAAGACUGGGUGCAACAAAAGUCAUUUGACCAUGAGGCAGUUACAGACAAGCAGCUGUUGUAUUUGUAUUUGAUUCUUCUUCACUCAUGCCAAAAGAGGCUCAUGGCUAACAUCCUCAUUGCCAGAUCAAGGGGUAGCAGGUGGUGUGAACCAAGUGACAGCAGCAUCAGUCAGCCAAUUAAAAGGUCAUGCAGGGAUCUGAAGGGGACAAAGCUCUCGAUACAUGUACCCAAAGCAAGUGAUGUGUACGGUCUCCAUCUUAUUGUCAUAGAUAUGUCCAAAACAGGUGGAGUUAGUUUCAAAGGUGGUUUUGUCAUUGUGUGACCUUCCUCCUCUGAGUCCACCAUACAGUACACCGUUAAAGUCCUACCUGUCACAAGUUCAAUUGACCUACAAUGUAAUGCUCUGAUAUAAAGCCCCACACAUACAGAAUGGUGCCAUCUGAUCAGAGAUACAGACCAUGCUAUUUGUGUAACACUGCUUUAUAGAGCAUGUUGAUAUGACUCCCAGUAGCUUAACAUUUUCAAUGUAAAAUAUGAUAAAUGAAGAUUUAAAAAAAAACAGGGAAGUCAAGCAGUCUUUUUCCCUCUAAAAGGAUAAAAGAAGUUUUGUGUAGUCACCCCUUUGGACCGACCUCACUCCCAAUCUGUCUUUCCUCCAUUCAGCAUACUGUUUGAUCACCAGAGCUUAAUACCCUCUGCACACUGCUUCCCAUUAAUGGCACAAUGAGCCUAGCUGUUGAGUGAAGACAUUCUGAUUUCCCUUCAUAGUCCUGACUACUUGGUUUUCAAACUACGUCCCUUGGUAUUUGAGCCUUUAACCAUGGCGAAUAUUUUGAUUGGAUUAAUUAAUUGGUUAUUUAUAGAUUGAGACCCUGUUUGCAAUACUGUACGGGAGAGAUUGUGAAUUCUGCUUUAAAGGUCCUUUCAGAGAAGGAAUUCCAUGUCCUCUUUGCAUCGCCCCUAGGGUACCAAAAGCCACAUUUUGACAUAAUUUAUGCCACAGUGCUUGGGUCUUUAAAUAUAAGAUGUUUGGUAAAUACUUUUUAUUGAUGAAAAUGCCCCUUUAAAUAAAACUGGUAAUAAUAUAAUGCAUUGUUAUAUUUUGCUGUUACUGGGUGAAGGUCAAGUAAUGCAGCAGGCAUACAACAGCUUUGAUUUUCCAGCUUGUGCUAUAUUGGAAAGAUGAUAGUUUGCACCCCCGCCAAUAUAAUCUUCACACCCUGCUUAUGAAAUUAAAUCUUUUUUUAUGCAAACAUGAGUGUUAAAGAAUGCCUCCGUUUUGUCUAUAUUUCCACUGGUGAUGACCAUCUCUAUGUGAUGGCUGGCGGGUAUUUUUAUCAUCCAUUUCCCUCGAGUGUCAUUGAUCAACAGCUAUUAACACCUAUGUAAACUGUGUCUGAGUUUGGGACACGGAUGGUGGAAUCCUAGGAAUUUAUGGCACAGGAGGAGAUCAUUUAGCUGGUUGUGUCUGGAUUAUCCUGAGGGAUUAUCCAACCCAAUCCCACUCUCUAUCUCUUGGACUGUGAUCUUGUCAGCCUGUGCUUUUCAGAAUGAACCCAGAAGAUGGAAACCUGAAGUGAAAUGGAAAACAUUUGAAAUACUGAGCAGGUCAGACAUCAUCUGUGGAAAGGAAAGUAGAAGUAAUGGCUCAAAAGUUUGAAUUAACUGUUCCUUUCUUCACAGAUGCUAUCUGACUUGCCAGGUGUUUCCAGCAUUCUGUUUAGUUUCAGUCUGAACCACAUCCAAUAGAUUGAUGUUUUUAAAAUAUAUUUUUUUCCUUCCCUUGUUCUUCCAUUUUUCAAGGAGAAUCUUAACUCCUUCCUCCAAUCAGGGAAAGGCAACAAUUUGUUUCACCAGUGACAUUGCAGCUGUGGGGUCAGGCAGUGCAGAAUUCAAGUAGGGCAAGAUUGACUGUGUCCAUGUGGGAGAUUUAUUCCUUUCUCAACACUCCUUCCCCACCCACUUCCCUCUCCUCCCUCCCCCUCUUGUUUCCUCCUUUCCCCUCUCCUUGCUUCACUUCUCUUCCCCUUACUUCGCUCUUUCCUCCCACAGAUGGAAAGCCUUGCUUCCAUGACACGACUCGCCAUCCGGUGGGCUGUUUUGGGAAGCCAGUAGAUUCUGAGAGUCCAGUAAACUUUUGGAACUCUAAACUCAACCAACGGAAACAACUCACUUUGAACGAUAAGUUGUGAUUUGUUACGUUCCAUUUUAUUCAGUUUUUUUCCCUUCCUGUCCUAAAGCUGCUGACAUCCCUUGAGUUCCAAUUGUACCAGCACUAUUAACACACCCUGUACCUUCCUUCAUCUCUCUCUCCCAAUCUCCCUUCCCAAAUGCCCCAGACAAACUAUAGGCAGUCCCUCUCAUCAACAGAAUUAAGACAGGGGUCUUCUAACACACAACACCUCCUGGAGUACUAGACAUUCAUUAGGAAAGAAGUUUCAGUCAUUGGACAAUCCCUGGAGAAGGUCUGGCUCAGCAUGGACUGGAGUCUGAAAUGGGAACUCUACAAAUCAGUCUGACACAGUACUCCACUGAACAAAGCAACUAUCUACUGCACUGUAACUACACAUAGUCCCCUGGUUCUAGCCAUCAUUAACCACUUCGACACCCCCUCACCUGAGAUCCUUGCUGUGUCUCCCAACUAUAAGAUUCUUACUGGUGACCGUAAGCCACACAAACUGGAUUGAGUUUUAAUGGCAGCCAUCUCUGUUAAUCUAAAGAAGGGUGUUCUCUGACGCUUCAGGGCAAUGGUACAAGAGUGGACACUGCAAAUUAUUUCAUGAUCUCUUAAAUGGUGGCAGCACAAUUCAAGUCCUGUGCUUCUAUACUGAACUAUACUGCCUUCAAAGUCAAACAGUAAACAAGGCCACAUGAAAACAUGCCAACUUUUCCUGAAUUAAACAUCAGUUGUAAUAUUCAGACCAUGUAUUACAAUCACCAAGAGAGACCUAUUUUGCAGUGCAAGUAUGUUGUUUAUGAAAUAGUGCCACAUUACCUUAACAAGCAAUCUGCUGAAUAUGAAUGUAACAACAGCUGUUUAAAAACUCUGUAAUUUUUGGGAGUAUGCAGCAUGGAGUUCGCACAGAUUUUGUUUCUGUCAUUCCAAUAUUUUCUUGAAUCUGUUAAAUGGGAAAUAAAAAGUAAUUAAUUGUGGAACCA